AAAUUGAAGAGUUUGAUCAUGGCUCAGAUUGAACGCUGGCGGCAGGCCUAACACAUGCAAGUCGAACGGUAACAGGAAGCAGCUUGCUGCUUUGCUGACGAGUGGCGGACGGGUGAGUAAUGUCUGGGAAACUGCCUGAUGGAGGGGGAUAACUACUGGAAACGGUGGCUAAUACCGCAUAACGUCGCAAGACCAAAGAGGGGGACCUUCGGGCCUCUUGCCAUCAGAUGUG
rnacentral:rRNA from 12 species